ACCUUCGUACUGUGGCGUGAGAAUUCAAUGUUUCAAGUGUGUAUAAAUAUGAUCUCGAUCAUCCCCUGUCAUUAAUACUUUUUCACUUUGAGUAUAUGCAGAUUUUGAAAAUGAUGAACUUGAUUUAAAUAAGUAUACUCAAGUAUGUGCGGUUAUCUUGCAACUAUAGCAAAUUUUAGGUUACUCAAAAAUCAAAAGUGAUAAAAUAAAGCUUACACACUAUACUGUACAUUCAUUGAUGCGUUAUCUCGAUUCCGGUUAAAAAGUAUUUUGCCGACUGCUAUCUGCGAUCACCCGACGUUGGGAAUGCGAAGUAGAGUAUAAAGUUCAAACAAAGUAUCUAAUACUGUUGGCAACUUGCGAGUUGCUCGAACUGUACCGGAGUUUAUAUUGUUUUGAAUUCUUAAGAUUAAGGUUUUAGUACAACACAAAAGUAUGGCCGGAUGUAAACAUGAUAGAUUAAAAGGUAGUAGACAAAGUAUGUAAUAUUUUACUGUUAGCCGCUUACUGUAAUAAUAAAAUUUAAUGUAUAUUUAAACUAUUUACUAACACAAAAUGUCAUCUGAAUUUCGAUACGAAAACUAAUUAUUGCAUAGUGUGACUGAUAUAACUGAGUGAAAUCGAGACAAUAUUGGGAGUAGUUUAUUUGAACAGGUGAUUUGAGUUUAGUGUUUAAAGAUUAAAAAAAUUAAAACACCUGCACGAUGUAGGGGACUUAUCUUUUUUUUUCUAAAAGUGAUUCAUAUUUGUGAUCUCAUAUAGUCUUAGAAAAAAGAUUAGCUUUUCUUUGUCGAACUGCGUGCACAGAAUUUUUGAAAUAAUGUGAAAAAUGUUUAAGAAAUAGUUGAACUAUUUUAUUUUUGAAACUUCGUAAAUCACUUGAGAGUUCGUAGUAUUAUAAUCUUAUCAAUCGGAUGAUCUUGUUACUUCCAAGCCAUCUUUACCGAAAUUUCGGCCGUAAAUGGCAAAUGUUAAUAAGCCAUUUCUAGCCUUAGUCAAAUACAUUUUGUGACUUGAAAUUUUAUUAACGUUCUUGAUAUUAAAGGAAAAAUCCAAUGGUUGAAAUAGCA